GAACCCCAGAGGAGUGGGAACCAGACUUCUCCCACCCCAGGAAGACAGUGCUGGUUCAAAAUCCUUCAUUGGCCAAAAGGACAGUUUUACGCACAAGAAAAUGCAGGAGAACAGAAACAGGAAUCAUUGGCACGAACCCAAACCUCAAUGAUGCAGGUGACGUACAAGAAGAAGCAGGCUGUCUCCACUAAGCAUCUGGGGCCCAGCUGCUGCCCUUUGCCACCACGGGGAGGCAGCAGACCAACACCCACAUGUGGAACACACUUGGCACCCUACAGUGACCUCGUGGGUGUAAUGGUCAGUGCUUCACUGCCUCUUCCAAAUCGCACGCAAAUUUCUCCUGUGGCUAACUCUAACCCAGAACCAGACGGUGAAGGGAAUUCUGGGAAAUCAGCUCCACCUUAGCUAAACAAAAAGCCGCUGUACCAGGUUUCAUCCUGUCAAUGUAUUUGUAGAUGCCUUUGAUUUUUCUUUAUAACACUAAAUACAGAAUAAUUCGAAUAUACAAGAGAAUAUAAAUACAGAGUCUUUCCAUGGUUUCCUUUAUGAAAUUACUAACUUUCUGUCAUCUUGAGUACCCAGUCAUCUUGGAUCAUUUCUUGCCAUGUGCUUAUUGGGAUGAAUUAAAACUACUGGCCUAUUUGUAUUUCACUUAUAUAUAUGAAAUGUUGAGUCUAUUCCUUAUACUUGCAGCAAAAACAGAUCCUCUGUGGUAUGUAUUUCAUGUAAAUGAGGAUUAGACAAACUUC
rnacentral:lncRNA from 1 species